AGUCGAACGAUGAUCCCAGCUUGCUGGGGGAUUAGUGGCGAACGGGUGAGUAACACGUGAGUAACCUGCCCUUAACUCUGGGAUAAGCCUGGGAAACUGGGUCUAAUACCGGAUAUGACUCCUCAUCGCAUGGUGGGGGGUGGAAAGCUUUAUUGUGGUUUUGGAUGGACUCGCGGCCUAUCAGCUUGUUGGUGAGGUAAUGGCUCACCAAGGCGACGACGGGUAGCCGGCCUGAGAGGGUGACCGGCCACACUGGGACUGAGACACGGCCCAGACUCCUACGGGAGGCAGCAGUGGGGAAUAUUGCACAAUGGGCGAAAGCCUGAUGCAGCGACGCCGCGUGAGGGAUGACGGCCUUCGGGUUGUAAACCUCUUUCAGUAGGGAAGAAGCGAAAGUGACGGUACCUGCAGAAGAAGCGCCGGCUAACUACGUGCCAGCAGCCGCGGUAAUACGUAGGGCGCAAGCGUUAUCCGGAAUUAUUGGGCGUAAAGAGCUCGUAGGCGGUUUGUCGCGUCUGCCGUGAAAGUCCGGGGCUCAACUCCGGAUCUGCGGUGGGUACGGGCAGACUAGAGUGAUGUAGGGGAGACUGGAAUUCCUGGUGUAGCGGUGAAAUGCGCAGAUAUCAGGAGGAACACCGAUGGCGAAGGCAGGUCUCUGGGCAUUAACUGACGCUGAGGAGCGAAAGCAUGGGGAGCGAACAGGAUUAGAUACCCUGGUAGUCCAUGCCGUAAACGUUGGGCACUAGGUGUGGGGGACAUUCCACGUUUUCCGCGCCGUAGCUAACGCAUUAAGUGCCCCGCCUGGGGAGUACGGCCGCAAGGCUAAAACUCAAAGGAAUUGACGGGGGCCCGCACAAGCGGCGGAGCAUGCGGAUUAAUUCGAUGCAACGCGAAGAACCUUACCAAGGCUUGACAUGAACCGGAAAUACCUGGAAACAGGUGCCCCGCUUGCGGUCGGUUUACAGGUGGUGCAUGGUUGUCGUCAGCUCGUGUCGUGAGAUGUUGGGUUAAGUCCCGCAACGAGCGCAACCCUCGUUCUAUGUUGCCAGCGCGUUAUGGCGGGGACUCAUAGGAGACUGCCGGGGUCAACUCGGAAGAAGGUGGGGACGACGUCAAAUCAUCAUGCCCCUUAUGUCUUGGGCUUCACGCAUGCUACAAUGGCCGGUACAAAGGGUUGCGAUACUGUGAGGUGGAACUAAUCCCAAAAACCCGG
rnacentral:rRNA from 1 species